UUAGAAAAUGACGCUCUUGUCUAUUGUUCACCUUAUUCCUCCUCGACUCGGCCCUCAACUCGUCUGGAACUCAGGCGAGUUUGCUCAAAUGGGACCCUUCCCCUCCACGUCAUUUGAUUCCCAACGGUUUUUAUCAAAAAGAAUAGAAUAUUCUCUCAAAAUCGCACGAUUUUUGGUACGAAAAGACGAUUUGCUGGAUGAAUGGGAGCCGUGGAUAGAUGUAAAUCGAUCCAUGCCUUCUAUUUGCCCCAAAUAUUGUUCAGAAAACCUGAAGAUUUUUGGAUUUUUGGCAAAAACUUGAAGAUUUUUUGAAGGCUAUAUAUAUGAGGUAAGUUCUGUUUGCUAGGUGAGGAAAAAGAUCAGAGAAAAAAUCGAAGAAAAAAUAAGAGGAAAAAUCUAGGAAAAAUUCUAGGGUUCUAAGAGUUGUCACCUUCUUCAAGCCAUUUCUUUUAGUCUGCUUCUUUUUUCUUUCCAGAAAAACAUACGAAAAAAGGAAAAUUGUUUGAGUUCAUGUUUUAUUCGAGUUUAUUUAAUGUUUAAGAUAAAAAUCAGAAAAAGAUGUCACUAAAACAGAGGUUCUUUUAGCCUUGGUUCUUUCUCUUGAUUUCUGGUUCUCUAAAUUGUUGGAAUUGCUGUUCGUUAGUCCGCUGAUUUUUUUGGUGUUUGUGCUGUCAAAUUAUACCUGUGCUCCUUCAUUUCCAGCUCUAGACUUUAUUGGGGUAAUUUUUCUGCUACUAGAAAAAUCAUGUUUUGAUUUAAAGGCUAGUUGGUCAGAAAAUAAUCUAAAUUUCACCAGAGUCAUAUUUGCUAGAUCUGUUUAUCUUGGAGCCAUGUUAAUGUCUGAAUUGUAGACUGUAGAGAUGAAUUUUUUAUAUUGGAUUGACAUUUUUGUUUUCAAGUUAAAAGAGGUUCAAAACUAAGGUGUACACAAAGUUGUCUUUUCUGUAAUAAGGAGGAGCAUGCUCAUGCAUUUGAUAUGGAGGUUGCAACUUUUUCUCUUAAUCUUAGCAAAAAUCAUUUUCCUUUUGUUUACAUUUUUGAGUUAAUUAUCUGAUUUCAACAUCUUGGACUUACAUAUGGUAUGAUAUAAUCCCACAACAAUAGCAAUGUGCCGGCUUCUGAACAUGAUUUAAAAUACUGCAGCUUUGUACCCAUCUAAAUGCUGAAAAUAUCCCUUUUUUACUAACUAUCAAAUGCAAAUCCAAUUAUUAGCACCUAAGCUGAACAAAUAAUGGAUUAGUAAAGUGCUCCUGUAGAUUUGUCUCUUUGUUAGCUUAAUUUUAUGGAGUUCUUUAAUAUAGUAGCAUAUAUGCUUGCAAGAAAAAUGUGAAGAAUUGCUUAAUAAUCCAUUGAAUGUGAUGCCAGAAGCUUAUUCUUAGUUGUUGCCUUGUAGUAAAUCUUGGAAGCCAAUUCAUUCAACACCUGUAGUUAUUUAUUCUCUUGGUUAUCAUAACCUUUGGUUCAAUUUCCUAUA